UAGGGAAUCUUCGGCAAUGGGGGCAAACCUGACCGAGCAACGCCGCGUGAGUGAAGAAGGUUUUCGGAUCGUAAAGCUCUGUUGUAAGAGAAGAACGUGUGUGAGAGUGGAAAGUUCACACAGUGACGGUAACUUACCAGAAAGGGACGGCUAACUACGUGCCAGCAGCCGCGGUAAUACGUAGGUCCCGAGCGUUGUCCGGAUUUAUUGGGCGUAAAGCGAGCUCAGGCGGUUUAAUAAGUCUGAAGUUAAAGGCAGUGGCUCAACCAUUGUUCGCUUUGGAGACUGUAAAACUAGAGUGCAGAAGGGGAGAGUGGAAUUCCCGGUGUAGCGGUGAAAUGCGUAGAUAUAUGGAGGAGCACCGGUGGCGAAAGCGGCUCUCUGGUCUGUAACUGACGCUGAGGCUCGAAAGCGUGGGGAGCAAACAGG
rnacentral:rRNA from 1 species